AGAGUUUGAUCCUGGCUCAGGAUGAACGCUAGCGGCGGGCUUAAUACAUGCAAGUCAAGGGGUAGCAAUACACCGGCGUACGGGUGCGUAACGCGUAUGGAACCUGCCCUUAUCUGGGGGAUAACUCGGGGAAACUCGAGCUAAUACCGCAUAAGAUAGUAGAGAGGCAUCUCUUAGCUAUUAAAGAUUUAUCGGAUAAGGAUGGCCAUGCGUAAGAUUAGAUAGUUGGCGAGGUAACGGCUCACCAAGUCUACGAUCUUUAGGGGCUCUGAGAGGAGA
rnacentral:rRNA from 1 species